CCACAUGCUUGCCAGGCAAACAAUUUCAAUCAUUGCAAGACUAAUACGUAUUUAGUAAUCUCAUUCAGUCAUCAAAUCUUUUCAGUAUUAGGUUAGACACAUGAGACUGUUUUUUAUAAGUAAAUAUCUUUGGGAAACAGCAACAUUCUUUUUAGAAAUUGUGAUUUAUUAUUACUCUGAGGAAAGGAUUGAUUUCGCAGAAUCUUUUAUUUCUGGCAAGUGUCCAGCUCUAACUGCACUGUAGUGACUACAUUGCAGGGGCACUAAAUUCACCUGAAAAAAAAGUUCUGUGGUUUAAUUAAGUUUGCAUGUCCAAGUUGGAGUAGCAAUCGAUUCUAUGAUUUAAUUUUGAAAUUCUUCCAUAAAAUAAAUGGAAGCAUAAUUGAUUUCACCAGAUUAAUGGUUAUUAAUAUUUAGUCAAUAUAAUUAGGUGUACCUGGGCUAGAAAAUUCAAAGAAAAAUCUAUUGUAUUAAGAACUGCAGAUUCUAAAGAGCACAAAGAACCUCUGUGCUCGAGCCUCUUUGAUGUACAAGAAAACUGAGGCUGUUUUAUAAGUUGAUCAGUUUGUUUUCAUCUAUAAAUUUGAAUUCCUAAAAUAUGAAGGAUUGUUGGAGAGAGAUGUUUACCCAGUCUCUUCAUCCUUACUCCUUUCUUUGAAAGACUAUGAGUUACCCUCAAGUGUCCAUGAUACAUGCACCAGAAAUACACAAUCCAUGACUGAGAAGAAUAAUUCGAUUCAAGAAAAGAUGUCAGUGAUAUUUUGGUUUUGCGAACAAUAUAAUCAUAGAGCUUUUUCAGAAUAUUCUCUACCACUCUAAAAGCAAUGGUUGCAUGCACAAUCAGUAUUUUUAAACCCAUUCUCCUCCUUGGCGUAUUCCAAGGAGUAACAUCGUCCUGGGAUACUGUUGAAGAGCAGUCUUAAAACUUUUAGAAGCAGGAGAAUUUAUUAUGCUACCUUCUUUCCAAGUCACCCCGUCCGAAAAUGGAAGAGCAUCUUUGGCAUUUUUCACCAAGGUAAAAAUCAUGGUCCAUGUGCUCAGUAGGUAGGUCAUCCUCAGUACAUGUUUUUUUACCUUCUAGGUGGACAACCGCCACUCUAGGGAUCCAGUGGUAGGUAGGGAUUGAUCUUGAAGCUGCCCUUUACCUAUUUGCCCUUUACCUACUCACCCUUUACCUAUCAUUUAUCCUUCACCUGUUUACCAGGGGAGAGCCAGCACAUACCCACUCACUUGAAAGGAAUCUCUCCUCCCAACUUCCAAAGAGCAAAUCAUUCCCCACCCCAUAUUUUCUUUCUCUGUAUGCCAAGCAGCUUUUUUGAAAAAGGCUGAAACACUAGGUGUAUCAGUCAGGAUUAAGUUAUAUUUUGGCAACAAAUGUCCCCAAAAAAUCCAUGAGUUAACAAUCACAAGAGUUUUAUGUCUCAAUCAUAUCACAUGCCCAUCUUGGGCUGGCUGUAUCUCUGCCUUAUAUCAUAUUCACUCCAGGGCCGUGGUGGAUAAAAUAGAAGCCUCUAGCUAGAAUUUUGUGGGUCAUUGAGACAGAGGAAAAAGAAAAAAAAAGAUGGCUCUUAAAGAUUUUGCUUUGAAGUGAUGCAAGGCAAUUACACUCAUAUUUCAUCGUUAGAGCAAGUCACAUGGCCAAGUUGUUAUUCAAUUAUUCAGGAAAAUAUAAAGCUAUUCCUGAAAAGGGCAGCAAAUAUUUGUGAAUUGUAAUACCAUCAUCUACAUCAGGGAGCAAAAACAGUAGGAGGCAGUUUCAGAUUCAUAAGAAGUAUUACAAAAGGGAUCUACCUUUCUUAAGGAGAAAGUGGGGGAAGGGGCUGAACAUACAUGUUGGUGACCAGAAAAAUGCUAAAUGUAGAGUGGUGAGAUGUACCUUUUUAAAAGCAUACAAUUUACUAACCAGCCUUAGACUUAUAGUAGAUGAAUAAAUAGAAAAAUAGAUGGAUAAAUAGCUAGGUGGAUAAAUAGCUAGGUAGAUAAUGGAGGAAUAAAUGGAUAGAUAGAUGAUAGAGAGUAGAGAUAGAUGAUAGGUAGGUAGGUAGAUAGAGAUAAACACUCAAACACUCAUACAAAUUUAAACAUAAAAUAUAAAACUCUACAUGUUAUUUUAGAUUAAAGUUGUUCAUUUAAUUUUUUAACUAAAUUCACAGGCAUUAUGCUCUUAAGUUCAUACUUUUAAAACAGAAGUUUUGAUAUAAAUGUUAUUUUAUUAUCUACUUGAGUUGAACAUGUAAAUAUAGAGUUUUCUAUCAUUUUGGAAUAACGUUUUGCAUUUCUCUGGAAUCUACUUAGCUGCAAAUUUACAAUAAGAUUUUUAUAAUGCUACUUUUUUUUACAGUUUGUAUUUCCACUUUGAAUCAUUGUUUUCUUUUCAUCUUGAGUGAUGCCAUUCAGUUACUUGAUUCGACGUGGGUAUUGACUCUCCUAAAUUUCAGAAAUUCAGAUUCCUGCAGAAUAAGCAUGCAAUUGGCUCAUCCGACAUAUCCAGUGAGAUUAUCCUUGAUUGGCAGAAUGCUAGUUCCACACUUCCUACAAGAACACUGGCUACUCUACAGAUACUCUCUAUAUUCUGGGAAAAGAUUUCAGGAUCAUAUAAUAUAAAAAAUGGCAAUACCACAAGAGACAAACCAAGGCUGAGGGACUCAUCUUGAUGAAGACAAAAAAAGACAUGACAACUAAAUAAGAUUUAUGAUUCCAAAUUGGAUCCUGAGCCAGAAAAAAAAAAUGCCAUAUUGGGCCUACCAGUAAAAAUGUAAAAGAACUACAGGUUAGAUAAUAGUAUUGUAUUGAUGUUAAGUUUCCUAAUUUUGAAGAUUGUACAAAAGUCAUGUAAGAGUAUGCCCUUUUCUAUUAGGAAAUGCACUGUGAUGGUUAAUAUUGAAUGUCAACUUCAUUGGAUUGAAGGAUGCAAAGUAUUGUUCCUG
rnacentral:lncRNA from 1 species